ensembl:antisense
UUUUUUUUUUUUUUGCAAGAAUUCUGAAAGUUUCAGACAAUGGAAUGAAUUAAGAAAUGACGACAAAUUCAGUAAGUAAAAAAUACUGCUUACAUAGCGGGUCACUGACUUUUCUAUCGCUAUAACACCGUGAAGAUCACAUUGAACAGGGUUUCUGGUUUCAGGGUCUGAUACCACAAUGGCAGAACAAAGGCAUGGCGACAGGAACAACUGAGAGCUCACAUCUUGAUCCACAAGAAGGAGGCAGAGACACUGAGAAUGGCACUGACAUCUGGAACCUCAAAGCCAGUGACACACCUCCUCCAACAAGACCACACCUCCUAAUCCUUCCCAAACAGUUCCACCAACUGGGGACCAAGAAUUCAGCUAUGUGAGCCUGUGUCGGGUAUCAUUGAACCACCUUAAAUACCCACCCUGCUAGAGUCCCAGAAAGUCUAAGAAGAGGGUGAAUUGGAAUCUGAGCAUCUUGGCUGCAGGAUCUGAGUGUUGAUGACUUAGGAGACGAUGCCACUCCGGGGCCUGUUACCUCUUCCAUGCAUUAGGAAGAGGAAGGUCAUUGCUAUUUGCAGACCCUCGUUGAGCACCGGAUAAAGCUGAG